GAUGAACGCUGGCGGCGUGCCUAAUACAUGCCAGUCGAGCGAACAGACGAGGAGCUUGCUCCUCUGACGUUAGCGGCGGACGGGUGAGUAACACGUGGUUAACCUACCUAUACGACUGGGAUAACUUCGGGAAACCGGAGCUAAUACCGGAUAAUAUAUUGAACCGCAUGGUUCAAUAGUGAAAGACGGUUUUGUUUUCACUUAUAGCUUGAUCCGCGCCGCAUUAGCUAGUUGGUAAGGUAACGGCUUACCAAGGCAACGAUGCGUAGCCGACCUGAGAGGGUGAUCGGCCACACUGGAACUGAGACACGGUCCAGACUCCUACGGGAGGAAGCAGUAGGGAAUCUUCCGCAAGGGGCGAAAGCGUGACGGAGCAAAGCCGCGUGAGUGAUGAAGGUCUUCGGAUCGUAAAACUCUGUUAUUAGGGAAGAACAAAUGUGUAAGUAACUAUGCACGUAUUGACGGUACCUAAUCAGAAAGCCACGGCUAACUACGUG
rnacentral:rRNA from 1 species